rnacentral:rRNA from 1 species
GACGAACGCUGGCGGCGUGCCUAAUACAUGCAAGUCGAACGAGAGCGACCGGUGCUUGCACUGGUCAAUCUAGUGGCGAACGGGUGAGUAACACGUGGGUAACCUGCCCAUCAGAGGGGGAUAACAUCCGGAAACGGAUGCUAAAACCGCAUAGGUCUUCGAGCCGCAUGGCUUGAAGAGGAAAAGAGGCGCAAGCUUCUGCUGAUGGAUGGACCCGCGGUGCAUUAGCUAGUUGGUGAGGUAACGGCUCACCAAGGCCGUGAUGCAUAGCCGACCUGAGAGGGUGAUCGGCCACAUUGGGACUGAGACACGGCCCAAACUCCUACGGGAGGCAGCAGUAGGGAAUCUUCCGCAAUGGACGCAAGUCUGACGGAGCAACGCCGCGUGAGUGAAGAAGGUUUUCGGAUCGUAAAACUCUGUUGUUAGAGAAGAACAAGUGCUAGAGUAACUGUUAGCGCCUUGACGGUAUCUAACCAGAAAGCCACGGCUAACUACGUGCCAGCAGCCGCGGUAAUACGUAGGUGGCAAGCGUUGUCCGGAUUUAUUGGGCGUAAAGCGAGCGCAGGCGGUUCCUUAAGUCUGAUGUGAAAGCCCCCGGCUCAACCGGGGAGGGUCAUUGGAAACUGGGGAACUUGAGUGCAGAAGAGGAGAGUGGAAUUCCAUGUGUAGCGGUGAAAUGCGUAGAUAUAUGGAGGAACACCAGUGGCGAAGGCGACUCUCUGGUCUGUAACUGACGCUGAGGCUCGAAAGCGUGGGUAGCAANNAGG